GAUGAACGCUGGCGGCGUGCCUAAUACAUGCAAGUCGAGCGAACGGACGAGAAGCUUGCUUCUCUGAUGUUAGCGGCGGACGGGUGAGUAACACGUGGAUAACCUACCUAUAAGACUGGGAUAACUUCGGGAAACCGGAGCUAAUACCGGAUAAUAUUUUGAACCGCAUGGUUCAAAAGUGAAAGACGGUCUUGCUGUCACUUAUAGAUGGAUCUGCGCUGCAUUAGCUAGUUGGUAAGGUAACGGCGUACCAAGGCAACGAUGCAUAGCCGACGUGAGAGGGGGAUCGGCCGCACUGGAACUGAGACACGGUCCAGGCUCCUACGGGAGGCAGCAGUAGGGAAUCUUCCGCAAUGGGCGAAAGCCUGACGGAGCAACGCCGCGUGAGUGAUGAAGGUCUUCGGAUCGUAAAACUCUGUUAUUAGGGAAGAACAUAUGUGUAAGUAACUGUGCACAUCUUGACGGUACCUAAUCAGAAAGCCACGGCUAACUACGUG
rnacentral:rRNA from 1 species